GACAAGACCUUCUGAGGAGCAACCUCCUGUAGGCUCCUUCCUGUAGCCUAGGCCUUCUUCUCUUGGACCUAGAAGGAGAGCCCAAAGGGACAAUUAAGAUCUAAGGGUUAGAAUCUUAAGACUGAAUUUGGAACUCUGAUCUUUAUUUGGGAGUCUGUGGUCUGAAGUUGAUAGUUGAGGUCCCAGGUACGGAUAUAAUAGCCUGAGGAGAGAAGGUGCAACCAAGAAGUCAAAGGGCCCAGGCUGGAUUCCUGGAAACCAACAUGUAAGGGAAGUGUAGAGGAAGAUGAGCCAAUAGGAAGGUCCAAGAGAAGAGUCAGUUUUGCUGUGAUCAUCCAGGACAGGAUGGUGUGUGGUCACCCAGGACCGGGUGGUCAUCCAGAAAUGAGAGGAGCCAUCAGGGAGGAGUGAUACAAAGCUGUCAGGUUAGGUGACAUCGCAUUCUUAAGAAGGGAGAGAAGAAGGGAAAGAUGGAAGGAAAUGCAAACGCGUCAGAGAGUAGAGAAAGGGCAAAGUUAGGGAAGGUUAUGUCAAGGCCUGUAUAUUCUUAAUGAAGUACAAUGUUUUUUAGGUUUUUCUGGCCCAGUUGUUUCUUUCUCAAAGUAUUCUGUUCAUGACUCCUCUCCCGUGGUGCUCAAGGAGGAAUAUCUCAACCCAAGGGUAACCUAGCUGUGGGCCAUGCCAAAAUCAUGACAGGGAGAGGCAUAUCUGAGCCUCUGCUAGGUCACUGGUGGUAGAGAUUGUGGUUGCAGCUCUUAGGUUGCCCUAUUGGGUGGGUUUUCACCUCCUAAUGAGCAUCUCUAGACUUUCUUGGAAAACAAACUGGACAGUUUUACCUUUUGUCUCUUUAUCUUGGAGAGACCUCAGUUCUAUCCAGGUUAUCAAGUAUUCUCGGCUGCCUCCUGCCAGGGGCAUCCAGGGAGAGGGGUCUUGGGGACACUUAGCCCACUCCUGUUUUUUUUAUUUUUUAUUUAUUUUUUAUUGUUAUUAUUUAUUUAUUAUUUAUUUUUUUAUUUUUUUUUACCCACUCCUGUUUUUACUGAGAACUUGGGGCUGCAGCCAAAUUACUUGAGUGUCAAAGGGGUCAAGGAUUGGCAAAUUCAGGGUAAUCGCUAAGGUCAGACUCCAGUGAGACAUUCAAGAUCUGUGCUUCGUAGGUGCUCACCUUGCUCUUCAAUACUCUGGUGCCGGCGUUUAUGUGCACCAUAAUGCACAUUUAUGCUGAAUUUAUGUGACUGUUAGUGGAAAAUUCUGUACUUUGAAAAGAUAUGAAAGCCAUGAGUCAAUGCAAUAGGAUUUUAGCAGCCUACAUCAUUCAUUUUAUGGGGAAAGUGACUGAGAUUCAGAGAGAACUGAGUUGUCCAGUUAUGGCUGGCUGGGAUUUGAACCCAGGUCUUCGGGUUCCUAGUCCGGUGCUCUUUAUAUACUGCAUCCUCAUUAUGUAAUAAAGGGUAGCUCAUUACAGGAGUGUAAGGGGAUGUAUUGGUGGCUCUCUCCUUUCCCGUAAUUCUCCCUAGAUUUUUACCUCUUGCUCUCAGUUCUUUAGGAUAUAAUGGACUUUGUCUCUCUGGGGAAGUGUAACCAUAACUCAUCCCCAUGGCUAAAACCAACUCAGUCCCCUGAAUCUUUCCUGUUUACAAUAUGCUCCUUAGAAUUUUAAAAUUAGUGAAUAAAACUCUUCUUGUCAUAGCUAGGGAUAAACCCAUAAGGUAGCCCUGGAGAAGUUUGACUUAAAUUUGAACCAAAUCAUCAAAUAUUGGUAUAAGACGUUUUCUGGGGAGCAGGCGUUUAGUGAAGGUGGGAGGAGAUGACGCUCGUGGCUUCAGUGCUGGGUAUUUUGCACAGUCUAUUUGAAGUUUGUAACCAUACUAGGCAUUAUCCCACUUUACUGCAUGGGAAACCGGGUCACAAAGACGUUAAGUAAUUAAACCAGGUCGCCAAGGGUUGGUCAUGUCAAUUAACUGUCCGUGCCAGAUUUCAAAUCUUGUUUUGUCUGGCUCCAAAAUAUGUGUUCUUUCUACUACCCCGUAAUUUUCUAACUUGACAGAAAAGUUCCCUGCAAAAGUGGUCUAAAAAGCAGAUUUCAUCCAAUCCAGGGAUUUGAAUUCAGCAAGACCGAGACAGGGUCAGGAAUCUAUCUUUUUCAAAAGUGCCCUCAGUGAUCCGGGCAUAUGGCUCGUUGGAAACACCAGAGGGAAAAGACGGGGCAGUGGCCUAGAAGUCUCGCGCCCCUCCUGGGCAGGUUGCAGAGAAGCGGCCACCCUGCCGAGGCUCGCGGCCUCUCCCACUUGUCCGGUAUCUUCUGACUCAGAAGAGGUGGCUUUCGGCCAGCGUCGCUAGAGGAACUCGCACGUAGACAAGGCUUCCCUGCGUGAAAUCUACGGUUCAUCCAGAAGUUUCCAAGGUGGGAUUGUAGUCCCGUUACUUCCUCUAAGGGAAGAACCAUUUGCCACCACACAGGGAGCUUUCCAGAGAUGGGCCCCUCCCGUCCCUAUCCUGACACCCGGCACAGACGCCUGGCGCACGGUGGGCGCUCCGGUUCCCGGGCCACCGAGCCCGGCGGGCCUGCUAGUGGUCCGCAGGCCUGAGGGCUUGGGAAUCUCCCGUUCGGAGCCUGCGCUGUUUGGGAGCCCGUCCGUCGGCCGUGUAGCUCCGAGGGCCACGGCCAGACGCAGCCAGCUCUCUGAGGCGCCAGCGAUGAGUGUCGGGUGGUCCUUUUCCUUCAUAAUGUUUUAUAAGCUGAGCCUUAUUUGCUUACGGGAAAGCACUGUGGGGAUUACAUUUCCAAUCUAGUCCGCCCUGUAAUCAUUUCUUUACUGCGGUGGCUACUACGAUUUCAGGGGGCGCCUCCCGGUUCCAUCAGCAGCGUUGUUACCUUGCCUCCCAGCCUUCCUUCCAGAUCAUUAGCGGGAGAUGAACAAUCCGGAGAUUCCAAGAGUCUGAAGCUUAAUCAAAGAAUCUGGUCUUCUGGCCCGGACAGAGCAUCACACGUUCCAGGGCUCCGAUUGCCCAGGUCCACGGACCCUGGGAGCCCAGGCGAAGGCCUCUGACGGUUUUCAGUAAUGCAGUUCUGCAUUCCAGAGAAUUCCACUCCUGCUCCCCCGCUCCAGCCAUACCCUACAUUGGAAGCAAACCACACGUGCACGGGAGGCGUAAGGUAGCUCAGCGACCUGAUAUUCAGAUUGGUGUCCUUUACGUGAGUUUCAGAUCUGCCUCGUGGCCCACGUCGUCCAGAUAACUGAGUAUGGUUCAGGCACAGGUGAGUGAAGGGGGUGGAUGCAAGGCACCUGGACGUUGUGGUAGCCUCAAUGAGCUGGCCGGGGCAUGCUGGCCCCAGAGGAAACUCAACAUCUGCUUUUCCUUCCUCCCUCCCUCCUUCCUCGCCACCUCCCACAGUCCACCUUUUCCUCCCGCCACGGAUGCUUCUUAAGCUGCACCCUUCCUAUAUCCCAGCUAUCGCAGCAGGCCCCCGACAGUACAAGGCAGCAAUGAUGUGGCUUUUGCCUGUUAGGAGCGCCAGGCUCACUAGAGCUCGUGAUUUGUCCAAGUGGAGCUGUGAUUACGUGUAUGUCUUCUGGACCAUUGUUUCUACAUCCCUGACCCUGGGGGCUUUGCAGAGCCUGCUGGCUGCUUUGAUGAAGGAUCAGGUAGAGGCUGACAACAGGAAACCAACUGACUCGUUUUCCAAGUGAGCCACGCAUUCACCUACUGCAGGAGCUCGGAGCUGUCAGCAGUUUGCAGAUGCACAGGCCGCAGGAGAUCUCAUUUCUCUUCCUAAAACGCUCGGCCUUCUCCAAAGCGCCUUCCCACGGCAUGUCCGGCCGUGCCCACAGGUGUGCCUUCUGUGCACGUUCCUGGACGUGCCUGGGCCUCCAGCGGUGUGAGAAGCCAGAUCAGCAUUUUGGCCUCUGGAUGGAGUUCCUCUGCUCUCAAGGGAAUUGUGCUAAACUAAGAUAAGACUGAGCAGCAAAGGAAAUUUCUACUCUAGAAGGCAAGAAGUCAGUUCAAGCAGAUGUGGAUCUGUCAGUCUGUGGGGAAUGUCACCCCUCCAUCCCCAUCCCAGGGCUCCGUGAAACUCAACUAUUUUGUGCCUGGGGAGCCAUGGGGCAUUUUGUCUUGAGCCCAGGCUUAUCUGGACAGACUUUCAGGACUAAGGGCAAAGCUUAGGUGGAGAACCUGCUCCUCGUGCCCUCAUGAUUGAAUCUCAACCAGUCUCUAAAAUAUGAAGGUGUGAGGACUAUAAAUACGCCAAGCUCAUAGAACCAGAGAAUACAACAGGGGUUGCCAAGGGCUGGGGGUCAGAGUCAUGGGAAGAUACUGGUCAAAGGGUAUAAUCUUUCAGUUACAAGAUGAGUAAGUUCUGGGGAUCUAAUGCACACCAGGCUGACUAGAGUUAAAAAUAUGGUAUGUGCACGUGCACUUUGCUGAGAGAGUAGAUCUUAAGUGUUCUCACCACGCACGCCCAUACACAAGGUCACUAGGUGGAGUGAUGGAUGUAUCUGUUACCUUGAUUGUGGUGAUCACGGGCUGCCCCAAAAUGAUGAUUUAAUAUGUACACAUUGUAAAGUGAUCACCACAAUCAAGGUAACAGAUCUUUACAAUGUGUACAUGUUAAAUCAUCAUUUUGGGGCAGCCCGGGUGGCUCAGCGGUUUAGCACCACCUUUGGCCCGGGGCGUGAUCCUGGAGCCCCGGUAUCGAGUCCCACAUCAGGCCCUGCACGGGGCCUGCUUCUCCCUCUG